ACUGAAUGAUGACUGCAUAGUUCAGCAGAUUAAACCGUGAAGAUUAUCUGUUGUCU
rnacentral:snoRNA from 1 species